CAGCAGCCACGGUAAUACGAAGGGUGCAAGCGUUAAUCGGAAUUACUGGGCGUAAAGCGUGCGUAGGCGGUUUGUUAAGUCUGUUGUGAAAUCCCCGGGCUCAACCUGGGAAUGGCAAUGGAUACUGGCAAGCUAGAGUGUGUCAGAGGAUGGUGGAAUUCCCGGCGUAGCGGUGAAAUGCGUAGAGAUCGGGAGGAACAUCAGUGGCGAAGGCGGCCAUCUGGGACAACACUGACGCUGAGGCACGAAAGCGUGGGGAGCAAACAGGAUUAGAUACCCCCGUAGUCCCUGUCUCUUAUAA
rnacentral:rRNA from 1 species